GGUUGCUGUCCGUGACGCAAUACUCCGCGCCGAGUUCUCACGAGCGAGAGGGCCGGCGGGCGCGCGAAACGGACGUCAGCACGGGGAAGGACUCGCCCCAGGCGGAAGUGAGAGGGGAGAAGAUGGCGCGGGUGGUGCAGGCUGUCUAUUCCGUCCAUCUUGAGUUGGGCGCCUUCCUGGUUUGUCUGAACCACGCCCGUGAGCACCGAGCAGGAUGAGGGGCUGGAAGGACAGCUCAGUGGUUAGCGCCAGCUCCGCUUCCUGAAUGUAUGGCCCGGUGUCCAUGUGACCCCACGUUCCAGUGACUCAGUGAGGGCGACGCUGACGUUGUCUUCUCUUCCCCGCUGCGACUGAGCGACAACAUCAGGUUUUGCUUUUCCAUGAGGACGAGAAUUCUCCCCUAUAGGUCGCACUUUGACGGCUAUACUUACCCAUAUAGGACAGUGGAGCCGGACCCCAGCUCACAGCACAUAUGGAAAUUAGCUACCAACGAGCCCGGGGCGUAAACAUGCAAGACGAGGGCGCAAACGCUUGGGAGAAGAGUGGGUCCUUGUGAUGUUGGCGAAUCAGAAUGCAAUGCACCGGAAAUGGCAGGGUGCCCAGACUGCCUUGGGGGAAUCAGAAUGGAGGCCAGAACCGAUCUUUUUCUUGAAGCACUGCUUACCAGCCAAUUUGGAGGAAAAGAUGGCCCUCCCUCCCUCCCUUUUGACCCAUUUUCCCUCUUCCCCGAUACACUCAAUAAAAUUAAAGUAAAUCAAUGAA
rnacentral:sRNA from 1 species